GUAUAAUGGGUCAGCGACUUAUAUUCUGUAGCAAGGUUAACCGAAUAGGGGAGCCGAAGGGAAACCGAGUCUUAACUGGGCGUUAAGUUGCAGGGUAUAGACCCGAAACCCGGUGAUCUAGCCAUGGGCAGGUUGAAGGUUGGGUAACACUAACUGGAGGACCGAACCGACUAAUGUUGAAAAAUUAGCGGAUGACUUGUGGCUGGGGGUGAAAGGCCAAUCAAACCGGGAGAUAGCUGGUUCUCCCCGAAAGCUAUUUAGGUAGCGCCUCGUGAAUUCAUCUCCGGGGGUAGAGCACUGUUUCGGCAAGGGGGUCAUCCCGACUUACCAACCCGAUGCAAACUGCGAAUACCGGAGAAUGUUAUCACGGGAGACACACGGCGGGUGCUAACGUCCGUCGUGAAGAGGGAAACAACCCAGACCGCCAGCUAAGGUCCCAAAGUCAUGGUUAAGUGGGAAACGAUGUGGGAAGGCCCAGACAGCCAGGAUGUUGGCUUAGAAGCAGCCAUCAUUUAAAGAAAGCGUAAUAGCUCACUGGUCGAGUCGGCCUGCGCGGAAGAUGUAACGGGGCUAAACCAUGCACCGAAGCUGCGGCAGCGACGCUUAUGCGUUGUUGGGUAGGGGAGCGUUCUGUAAGCCUGUGAAGGUGUGCUGUGAGGCAUGCUGGAGGUAUCAGAAGUGCGAAUGCUGACAUAAGUAACGAUAAAGCGGGUGAAAAGCCCGCUCGCCGGAAGACCAAGGGUUCCUGUCCAACGUUAAUCGGGGCAGGGUGAGUCGACCCCUAAGGCGAGGCCGAAAGGCGUAGUCGAUGGGAAACAGGUUAAUAUUCCUGUACUUGGUGUUACUGCGAAGGGGGGACGGAGAAGGCUAUGUUGGCCGGGCGACGGUUGUCCCGGUUUAAGCGUGUAGGCUGGUUUUCCAGGCAAAUCCGGAAAAUCAAGGCUGAGGCGUGAUGACGAGGCACUACGGUGCUGAAGCAACAAAUGCCCUGCUUCCAGGAAAAGCCUCUAAGCAUCAGGUAACAUCAAAUCGUACCCCAAACCGACACAGGUGGUCAGGUAGAGAAUACCAAGGCGCUUGAGAGAACUCGGGUGAAGGAACUAGGCAAAAUGGUGCCGUAACUUCGGGAGAAGGCA
rnacentral:rRNA from 1 species